UGUCCCAUGGCUUAGUUGGUUACGGCGUCCGACUGUUAUCUACUCAUCGUAAUGGCAUCGGAAGAUCGAGAGUUCAAGUCUCUCUGGGACAG
rnacentral:tRNA from 1 species